AACGUAGGAGACAACCGUUAUCCGGAGUUACUGGGCGUAAAGGGCGCGUAGGCGGUCUGCUAAGCGUGUGGUGAAAGCUCGGGGCUCAACCCUGAGUCUGCCAUGCGAACUGGUGGACUGGAGCACUGUAGAGGCAGGUGGAAUUCCGGGUGUAGCGGUGGAAUGCGUAGAGAUCCGGAAGAACACCGGUGGCGAAGGCGGCCUGCUGGGCAGUUGCUGACGCUGAGGCGCGACAGCGUGGGGAGCAAACAGG
rnacentral:rRNA from 1 species